GACGAACGCUGGCGGCGUGCUUAACACAUGCAAGUCGAACGAUGAAGCCGGAGCUUGCUCCGGUGGAUUAGUGGCGAACGGGUGAGUAACACGUGAGCAAUCUGCCCUUGACUCUGGGAUAACUGCGGGAAACUGUAGCUAAUACCGGAUACGACACCUUGGGGCAUCCCAGGGUGUGGAAAGAAUUUCGGUCAAGGAUGAGCUCGCGGCCUAUCAGCUAGUUGGUGAGGUAAUGGCUGACCAAGGCGACGGCGGGUAGCCGGCCUGAGAGGGUGACCGGCCACACUGGAACUGAGACACGGUGCAGACUCCUACGGGAGGCAGCAGUGGUGAAUAUUGCACAAUGGGCGAAAGCCUGAUGCAACAACGCCGCGUGAGGGAUGAAGGCCUUCGGGUUGUAAACCUCUUUUAGCAGGGAAGAAGCGAAAGUGACGGUACCUGCAGAAAAAGCACCGGCUAACUACGUGCCAGCCGCCGCGGUAA
rnacentral:rRNA from 1 species